GUAUUUUUCUGAAUAAGACACAGCAGCACAUACACUAAAACUGGACCGAAACAGAGAAGACGAGCGUGGACUCUGUGCAAGAAUGGCAUGUAAAUUCAUGAGGCAUUUCAUAUUCUU
ensembl:snRNA U6 U6 spliceosomal RNA